UAUCCUCGCCUUUCUGUCUGCCUGGGCAAAAUCCAGACCUGCUUAUGGGUCAAGAGAGCCAAGUUCGAGAAGCAGUCCUUGGAAAGGAAGCUGUUGGCAGCUGACUAAUUACCAGAGAGGAAAACAAAAAUUUGCAAUGUUGUUGCAAAGGAUGGGGUCCAGGGUCUUGCUGUGUGGGGGUGCAGAGGGGUGAGACCUCUGAGGAGCCUGUGAGGUCCAGAGGCUUCUCCAGAAUGAAUGCUCAGGGACUUCUGCACCUGGGUAAAUCAACCAAGCACUGUGUUGUUAACGUCAGCAAAGUUAUUCUUGUACCUUGUGCCUAUGUACUUACUUCAAUCUACAGAGAAAACGAGGGAUCCCAGUGCCUGAAGGAAAAAAUGGUUCUGUAAUCUAUGAAGUCAAAUCACAGUUGAUAGCAGAAAGUGACACGAAACGGGAACUAGGAGAAAUUAAGUUGCAAGGUAUAGAUUUUGUCCGACUAAAUUAGAGGUAAGCAAUACCCGCUUCUCUCUUAGGGCCCAUGCUCCAAAUAAAAACGGAUGCUUGUUGGGGUGUGUGGUUUCUUGUUGGCCGCACUCUCAUGUGUCAGGUACGGCGGGCCACAGGGUGAGCAUCAGGAUGGAAAUAAUAAUUAUUUUUUUACAGCAAUGUCUUCUCGAGCUUCAAAGAGAGAGGCCUCUCUCCUUGCGCAUGCAAAUAUCAAUUUGGGAACUGAGGAAGGUAAUUUUCACAUGCAAAUGCGUGUAAGUUGAAAUGAGCAGAGGCAAUGAACAGACUGUUAAAGAAACGCAGGCUUCCUUGUCUUCCGGUACAAAGGAGCAAAGGGCUGAAGAGAAGAAGAAGCAGACUUCUUGAAGGAGGAGAGAAAAGACGGGCCAUCCACUGUGAAGUGAAAUAUGUGAGUGUGGAGUCCCAAAUGACGUCAGAACCUACUCGUCUGCCUCCUGGCCGCGUGGCCUCAUCACAGGGUGCUGUCGGGAUCCAUGGGAGUCCACUGUGAGGUCCCGAGGGGACCGCGGUGGACCACAAGCCACAAGCCCAAGGGAGAAGCAGCAGGUGCCACUGCAUUUUCUAAAACAUCACUUUCUAUGCUAAUCCCUCAUCCAAGCAUCUCUCGUAGGGCUCUCCCUUCCCAAGUCACACCAAGACUCUGGGGUCCACGGAUAACAGGGAGCUGUCUGCCACCAGAGUCUGAGAAUGCCUUCUGGCCCAGAACCUCUGCCAUUCCAAGCCAUCCUUGGAACACUGGAACUUUCCCAAGCUGCCAGAGCCCUGUGUGCCUAGAUGAACCUCAGUCACUCUUUCUUUUGGUUGCGCUGGUUUGCAGAACAAAAGGAGCUCUUCCGUCCUCCUCCCCUUCCACACGUAUACUGUUCUCCCCACCACCCACCAGCUUCGGCCAGGAAAUCCUUUUUUUACACUUUGAUGUGUCUGAUCAAGACAGUGCUAUUUCCGAAUCUCUCCUCGGGAUCCUUUGGGGGACAGAUGCCUGGAGGCCUCACAGGAAGACUGCCUUUGCCCUGUCCAGUUCCUCCCCGGGCACUGUGAGCAUAGGCUAGUUAUCUGCUGGAGCACCAGAGGGAUGGGAAAGGCAAGAAGAAAUUAAUUAACAUUCCACCAUAACCUGAUGCACCUUCGUAUGUGUGGAGAGUCAUUGCCCACGUAAUGAGGGUAACUGCUCUUGCUUAUUUGCCAUCCUUGAACAGGUAGUUAAAAGACUCCCCCUGACCCCUUCUUUCUUUCUUUUCUCAAAUAACAGUCAACUGUGUUAAGUCACACAUUAAAAUAAUAACAGAUUGAACAUGG